rnacentral:rRNA from 1 species
GGCGAAGGAUGCAAGCGUUAUCCGGAUUCAUUGGGUUUAAAGGGAGCGUAGGUGGCCUUAUAAGUCAGUGGUGAAAUCUCUCGGCUUAACCGAGAAAUUGCCAUUGAUACUGUAGGGCUUGAGUAUAGUUGCCGUUGGCGGAAUAUGACAUGUAGUGGUGAAAUACAUAGAGAUGUCAUAGAACACCGAUUGCGAAGGCAGCUGACGAAACUAUAACUGACACUGAGGCUCGAAAGUGCGGGGAUCAAACAGG